rnacentral:rRNA from 1 species
AACGCGAAUAACCUUACCUGGGCUAGAAUGCCUCUGACAUCCCCAGAGAUGGGGCUUCUUAGGGAAACCUAAUGCAGAGUGCAAGGUGCUGCAUGGCUGCCGUCAGCUCGUGUCGUGAGAUGUUGGGUUAAGUCCCGCAACGAGCGCAACCCUUAUCAACAGUUGCCAGCGGUUAAAGCCGGGAACUCUGUUGAGACUGCCGUUGACAAAACGGAGGAAGGUGGGGAUGACGUCAAGUCCUCAUGGCCUUUAUGUCCAGGGCUACACACGUGCUACAAUGGCAGGUACAAAGCGCUGCAAACUCGCGAGAGGGAGCCAAUCGCAAAAAGCCUGUCUCAGUUCGGAUUGGAGUCUGCAACUCGACUCCAUGAAGCUGGAAUCGCUAGUAAUCGCAUGUAUCAUGCACGCUGCGGUGAAUACGUUCCCGGGGUCUUGUACACACCG